AACGAACGCUGGCGGCGUGCUUAACACAUGCAAGUCGAACGAGAAAAUCCUGGCUUGCCAGGAUGAGUAAAGUGGCGCACGGGUGAGUAACACGUGAGUAAUCUGCCCCUAAGUUAGGAAUAACAUUGCGAAAGCGAUGCUAAUACCUGGUAAGCCCACGACUUCUUCGGUAGAUGUGGGAAAAGGUGGCCUCUGACAUAAGCUAUCACUUAGGGAUGAGCUCGCGGACCAUUAGCUUGUUGGUAGGGUAAUGGCCUACCAAGGCGAUGAUGGUUAGCUGGCCUGAGAGGGUGGCCCCCCACAAUGGAACUGAAACACGGUCCAUACACCUACGGGAGGCAG
rnacentral:rRNA from 1 species